AAACUGAUCUUCCCGUGAAGAAGCGGGAAUAUACAUAUAAGACGAGAAGACCCCAUGGAGCUUUAAACCCAACAGCACCUAUUCUUUUUAAAUCCACUUAUUCUUAUAGUAAGUGCUUGCUUGGUUUUAGGUUGGGGUGACCGCGGAGUAAAAAUAAGCCUCCACGAAAAAAGGCAUAAAAGCCUUAUCAAAGAAUCACACUUCUAUGAAUUAGUAAACUAAUUUUUGAUGAUCCGAUAUUCGAUCAACGAACCAAGUUACCCUGGGGAUAACAGCGCAAUCCACCUCAAGAGCUCUUAUCGACAAGUGGGUUUACGACCUCGAUGUUGGAUCAGGGUACCCCAGUGGUGCAGCAGCUACUAAAGGUUCGUUUGUUCAACGAUUAAAACCCU
rnacentral:rRNA from 1 species